rnacentral:tRNA from 1 species
UAUAUUUUAAUGUAUUAAGCAUAUAAAUUUUUGAAAUUUUUAGAAAUAGUUAAAACUAUUAAUUAUAA